rnacentral:rRNA from 1 species
ACUCCAGACUCCUACGGGAGGCAGCAGUGGGGAAUAUUGCACAAUGGGGGAAACCCUGAUGCAGCGACGCCGCGUGAGUGAAGAAGUCUUUCGGUAUGUAAAGCUCUAUCAGCAGGGAAGAAAAUGACGGUACCUGAUUAAGAAGCCCCGGCUAACUACGUGCCAGCAGCCGCGGUAAUACGUAGGGGGCAAGCGUUAUCCGGAUUUACUGGGUGUAAAGGGAGCGUAGACGGUGAUGCAAGUCAGAAGUGAAAGCCCGGGGCUCAACUCCGGGACUGCUUUUGAAACUGUGUAACUGGAGUGCAGGAGAGGUAAGCGGAAUUCCUGGUGUAGCGGUGAAAUGCGUAGAUAUCAGGAGGAACACCGGUGGCGAAGGCGGCCUGCUGGACUGCAACUGACGUUGAGGCCCGAAAGCGUGGGGAGCAAACAGGAUUAGAUACCCUGGUAA